rnacentral:rRNA from 1 species
GACGAACGCUGGCGGCGUGCUUAACACAUGCAAGUCGAACGGUGAAGCGCCUUCCUUUUUGGUGGGUGUGGAUGAGUGGCGAACGGGUGAGUAACACGUGAGUAACCUGCCCCCUUCUUCUGGAUAACCGCAUGAAAGUGUGGCUAAUACGGGAUAUUCUGGGUCUGUCGCAUGAUGGGUCUGGGAAAGAUAUUGUUUCGGUGGGGGAUGGGCUCGCGGCCUAUCAGCUUGUUGGUGGGGUGAUGGCCUACCAAGGCGGUGACGGGUAGCCGGCCUGAGAGGGUGGACGGUCACACUGGGACUGAGACACGGCCCAGACUCCUACGGGAGGCAGCAGUGGGGAAUAUUGCACAAUGGGCGCAAGCCUGAUGCAGCGACGCCGCGUGAGGGAUGGAGGACUUCGGGUUGUGAACCUCUUUCGCCAGUGAAGCAGGGCUGCCUCGUUUGUGGGUGGGUUGACGGUAGCUGGAUAAGAAGCGCCGGCUAACUACGUG